GAUGGAUAUAUUUUUGCAAUGUAGAGUUUGAGUAAAAGCUAAAUUCCCAUAUGCCACAAUGACAAAUUAAAAGAGAAUAUCCUAACCUGACAUUUACUUAGGAUUAUUGAGGCAUGACCAGGAAGAAUCAUGAAAUGAUCCCUCUCCCAAGAUUGACUUCCUUGUGUUCUAUCAGCAGCAAAGGCACAGUGAAUGAUAAAUUCGUCUUUUUUCCCUCACACCAACUUAGGAGCUUUGCACAGAUGUGAAUUAGCUGAAGUGUGAAGUCAUCAUCGUACUUUGGCACAGCACUGUGGUGCUUGGAUGGAGGAUUUCUAAACAAAAAUAAGCAAAGAAUUAAACUGUGGGAGAGCUUGCAGUGCAGCUGGAAAUAGCAGUCUCUGACGAGUGAACCGGGCCAAACACCAAAAGUGAAUAAUGCUCUAAACAGCAAUACUGGCACUGUACUACUUCUCCGACACCCCCUUGCUCACUAAGGUCAGGAGCCGGGACACAUCCAAGUCCUGUGAAUACUGUCCUGCAAGACUAACACAGAGCCAUAUUUAAAACCAGAUGCCUACUUGGAAAGAGUCAGCCUGAAACAUGUAUUAUGAGAAUACUAUUCAAUUAUGCACAAUUGAAGCCACAACCAUUUCAAUCUCAAAACAGUACUGAAUAAUCACAUGUGAUGCUAUAAAGGGACCUCCAGGUAGUUAAGUGGAAUUUUGUGUCUUUCUUUUUUUUUUUUUUUUUUGGUACCAGGGAUUGAACUUGGGUCCUUGCACUUACGCAGCAGGCGGCAAAACCACUGAGCUAAAUCCCCGGCACAAAUUUUUGUAUCUUAAUGAUGCAAGAUGAUGAC
rnacentral:lncRNA from 1 species